AUUGAACGCUGGCGGCAUGCCUUACACAUGCAAGUCGAACGGCAGCACGGACUUCGGUCUGGUGGCGAGUGGCGAACGGGUGAGUAAUGUAUCGGAACGUGCCUAGUAGUGGGGGAUAACUAGUCGAAAGAUUAGCUAAUACCGCAUACGACCUACGGGUGAAAGUGGGGGAUCGCAAGACCUCAUGCUAUUAGAGCUGCCGAUAUCAGAUUAGCUAGUUGGUGGGGUAAAGGCCCACCAAGGCAACGAUCUGUAGCUGGUCUGAGAGGACGGCCAGCCACACUGGGACUGAGACACGGCCCAGACUCCUACGGGAGGCAGCAGUGGGGAAUUUUGGACAAUGGGGGCAACCCUGAUCCAGCAAUGCCGCGUGUGUGAAGAAGGCCUUCGGGUUGUAAAGCACUUUUGUCAGAGAAGAAAACUGUUGCGCUAAUAUCGCGACGGGAUGACGGUAUCUGAAGAAUAAGGACCGGCUAACUACGUGCCAGCCGCCGCCGUAA
rnacentral:rRNA from 1 species